rnacentral:rRNA from 1 species
CAGUCGCCGCGGGAAUACGUAGGGUGCAAGCGUUAAUCGGAAUUACUGGGCGUGAAGCGUGCGUAGGCGGUGAGUUAAGUCUGCUGUGAAAUCCCCGGGCUCAACCUGGGAAUGGCAGUGGAUACUGGCUCGCUAGAGUGUGUCAGAGGAUGGUGGAAUUCCACGUGUAGCAGUGAAAUGCGUAGAGAUGUGGAGGAACACCGAUGGCGAGGGCAGCCCCCUGGGCCAAUACUGACGCUCAUGCACGAAAGCGUGGGGAGCAAACAGGAUUAGAUACCCCAGUAGUCCCUGUCUCUUAUAC